GGGGGUGUAGCUCAGGGGUAGAGCAUUUGCCUAUCAUGCAUGAGGCCCUGGGUUCCACCCCUAGCACUGCCA
rnacentral:tRNA from 1 species